rnacentral:rRNA from 1 species
CCUACGGGAGGCAGCAGUGAGGAAUAUUGGUCAAUGGGCGGGAGCCUGAACCAGCCAAGUAGCGUGAAGGAUGACUGCCCUACGGGUUGUAAACUUCUUUUGUUUGGGAAUAAAAGACGCUACGUGUAGCGUUGUGCAUGUACCUUACGAAUAAGCAUCGGCUAAUUCCGUGCCAGCAGCCGCGGUAAUACGGAAGAUGCGAGCGUUAUCCGGAUUUAUUGGGUUUAAAGGGAGCGUAGGCGGGCUGUUAAGUCAGCGGUAAAAUGUCAAGGCCCAACCUUGUCCUGCCGUUGAAACUGGCGGUCUUGAAUGCACACAAGGGAGAUGGAAUUCGUCGUGUAGCGGUGAAAUGCUUAGAUAUGACGAAGAACUCCGAUUGCGAAGGCAGUCUCCUGGGGUGUAAUUGACGCUGAGGCUCGAAAGUGCGGGUAUCAAACAGG